UUACAAUGAGCCCGUCCUCCUAUAGAUCCUCAUACCAGCCUCCUCUGCCAGACAGAACAAACAGUAAAUGUCCCUGACAUCUGAUCUGUACUACCAUGAAAGGCAGAGGAGAGAAAACAGAUUAUAUAAAGAUGGGAAGUAUCCUGAGCAUCACUGAAACAUCAACAGGCAGAGUGAGACAGACUUACUGUACAGAGACACAGGGAGAGUCAUUAUAGUGAGUGAGACAGACUUACUGUACAGAGACACAGGGAGAGUCAUUAUAGUGAGUGAGACAGACUUACUGUACAGAGACACAGGGAGAGUCAUUAGAGUGAGUGAGACAGACUUACUGUACAGAGACACAGGGAGAGUCAUUAGAGUGAGUGAGACAGACUUACUGUACAGAGACACAGGGAGAGUCAUUAUAGUGAGUGAGACAGACUUACUGUACAGAGACACAGGGAGAGUCAUUAUAGUGAGUGAGACAGACUUACUGUACAGAGACACAGGGAGAGUCAUUAUAGUGAGUGAGACAGACUUACUGUACAGAGACACAGGGAGAGUCAUUAUAGUGAGUGAGACAGACUUACUGUACAGAGACACAGGGAGAGUCAUUAGAGUGAGUGAGACAGACUUACUGUACAGAGACACAGGGAGAGUCAUUAUAGUGAGUGAGACAGACUUACUGUACAGAGACACAGGGAGAGUCAUUAUAGUGAGUGAGACAGACUUACUGUACAGAGACACAGGGAGAGUCAUUAUAGUGAGUGAGACAGACUUACUGUACAGAGACACAGGGAGAGUCAUUAUAGUGAGUGAGACAGACUUACUGUACAGAGACACAGGGAGAGUCAUUAUAGUGAGUGAGACAUAUUGAGAUAUGAUGCUGGCUGUGUGUGUCACUGUUGUCCUGGGCCUUCUCUCAGUGAGUGGCUCCCAGGCGGCCCCUUUAACCUGUGAUGAUCUCCUGAGACCACUGGAGCUGAGCAGUGUCAAUCAGACUCUGGGGAAGUGGAUGUAUAUUGCUGAGAGUUCGGAUGGUCCUUUCUGGGAACAAAUACUGUAUACCUUAUUACACAGUGCCUGGAUAGAGAUCUCUGUGCCGGUCGGUACCCAGAACAACAUUCUUGACAUCUCCCAUUUCUUUGGCAUCGGUAUUCCACAUCUAAAUGUUUUUCGAUUCAAAUGCUACAGGAUCAACUCUAACUUUACUCUGCAUGACAAUAAAACAUGGACCUCAGUGACCCCCAGCCCUGUUACUGAGGUUCUCCUGCCAACGUGCUCAGACUGCCUCCUGGCCCUGGAGAGAUGGGAUGAGGAUGGGAAGACCUUCACCUCUCUAACACUCUACAGUAGGAGACGGGAGCUCACUGCUACUGAACUGGACUUCUAUAAGAAACAGGUGGAUUGUCUCAGUCUGCCACCAGCGACAUUCAUGGAUCCACAGAAAGAUCUCUGUCGCGACACAACUCCACUCUUAGAAGAUACAAUUGAGAAGGAAGUUGAGAAUGCAGUUGAACUUAUUUCAGAGAUUCCAAGAAUACUCACAUAUACAUUUACACGUUUAAUGUAUUAUGUUUUUUAGCCAUUUUCAAUGUUUGAAAUGAGUAGUUGAUUAGUUGCCUCCUCCUCUCUGAUUGGUUUGCUGCCCACCAUGUAUUCUACAGUAACCCAGGGUUACAGUACCUAACCCAGCAAGCCUGUAAACAGUCCCUGAUGCCUUGAUGUGGGACCAAACUCCACUCUGCUAAUGUUGCUCUACAUUCAACACAAUAAAUCCAGAUUAAGACAAA